GUCUCAGCGAUGCUCGACUAUAUUGGCCCCAUCGACGUAAUCAACUUCUGGCUGCUGCAAAGAGGGAAAACAAAAAGUUUAGGUAUUAAUAAAAUCAUAUACCAUUUGGGUGCAUAACCCUUGGUAUACU
rnacentral:rRNA from 1 species